rnacentral:rRNA from 1 species
UACGUAGGGUGCGAGCGUUGUCCGGAAUUACUGGGCGUAAAGAGCUCGUAGGCGGCUUGUCGCGUUGUUCGUGAAAAUUUACCGCUCAACGGUGAACUUGCGGGCGAUACGGGCAGGCUAGAGUACCGCAGGGGAGACUGGAAUUCCUGGUGUAGCGGUGAAAUGCGCAGAUAUCAGGAGGAACACCGGUGGCGAAGGCGGGUCUCUGGGCAGUAACUGACGCUGAGGAGCGAAAGCGUGGGGAGCGAACAGG